rnacentral:lncRNA from 1 species
AUGAGAGGGCAAAGUCUGAAGUUAUUGUUGGGUUGUUUUAGGCAAGCUUUCACAUUGAUUCUGGUGCAACAUAAGGUUAAGGCAGUGAAUUUUCUGAGACCUGAUACUGAGACACGGAAAGCUGUCUCUCCUGUUUCCCUCAUCUACACAAGCUGUGACUUAAAGAGCAGAAAAAGCAGUGAGCCUGGUAAGUGGCCAUUAAACCAGACACCUCCUGCCUCUCAAGGAUCAGCACAGCAAAGUAGGACAACAUGGAAUAAAUGUGGCACUCCCACCAGAAAGAUCCAAUAAUGCUUCGGGGAAAAAGAUUUAAAAUGUUCUUUUAAUAAUAAGUCUUGUCGAUUGGUAUUUUUCUCUAUUUAUGAGAGAGACUUUGCCUGCAGGGAAGCUCUUUGCUUGUCUGAGUUCAUCUAAGAAGAUUAAGCUCCAAAAGUUCAUGACUAAAAAGCUCAUCUGCUUUCAUCUUUAUUCCUCACCUGAACACGUAAUCUGAUGAGGGAUUUCUGUAUAAAUAUAUAGAUGGGUUUUGACUUUGGCUGAACUAAGCCCAAGACUUAUCUCCAACUAGCAGGAGGUGGAAACGCUGCUGAGAUGGUAUGUUUGUCAGCAGGAGUUAUAAACUGUUUGUGCACCAGCACAUUGACGUUAUCUAAGGUUUGCCUUCAUAGUCUAUGCCAAUGGGAAAAACGCUAUGAGCAUAACAGGGCCCACUGCAGGAACAUCUCUGACUUAUGUGGGGGCAAGGAGGUUUCUGAUAGCUGUUGAGUUACAUACAUGGUGUCAGUUCCCCGCCCCGCUGUGCGUGCCCUCCUGAUGCGCAAUUCGGCAUAAGCUGGUGUUUGAGAGAAGAUACCUACGUUUGGUGGUUUGUCAGGGUAUGUUGGGGUUGGACAGGCCACAGCAGAUAGUCCUCAGGUGCCUCUGAAGAGCCUGCGUGAUUGUUCUUAUAGCUUGUGGUGCUACUUGGUUCUGUCGUGCCCCCCAGUGCCUCACACCAGAAACAAAAGGGAAACAGGCAGUGGGGUUAAUCCAGGGCUGGCAAUCUACCUCACCAGGCAAGCCGACCUACUGUCCUUGCUGCAUCCCAUGUUGAAUCCCGUCAUUCUUUGC